rnacentral:rRNA from 1 species
GACGAACGCUGGCGGCGUGCCUAAUACAUGCCAGUCGAACGCACAGUUUAUACCGUAGCUUGCUACACCAUAAACUGUGAGUUGCGAACGGGUGAGUAACGCGUAGGUAACCUGCCUGGUAGCGGGGGAUAACUAUUGGAAACGAUAGCUAAUACCGCAUAAUAUUGAUUAUUGCAUGAUAAUUGAUUGAAAGAUGCUAUUGCAUCACUACCAGAUGGACCUGCGUUGUAUUAGCUAGUAGGUGAGGUAACGGCUCACCUAGGCGACGAUACAUAGCCGACCUGAGAGGGUGAUCGGCCACACUGGGACUGAGACACGGCCCAGACUCCUACGGGAGGCAGCAGUAGGGAAUCUUCGGCAAUGGACGAAAGUCUGACCGAGCAACGCCGCGGGAGUGAAGAAGGGUUUCGGAUCGUAAAGCUCUGUUGUAAGAGAAGAACGGGUGUGAGAGUGGAAAGUUCACACUGUGACGGUAUCUUACCAGAAAGGGACGGCUAACUACGUG